rnacentral:rRNA from 1 species
UACGUAGGGGGCAAGCGUUGGUCCGGAUUUAUUGGGGCGUUAAAGAGCGUGUAGGCGGUUUUACAGGUCCGCUGUGAAACAUCGAGGCUCAACCUCGAGCUGUCGGUGGAAACCGUAAGGCUAGAGUCCGGAAGAGGAGAGUGGAAUUCCCGGUGUAGCGGUGAAAUGCGCAGAUAUCGGGAAGAACACCUAUGGCGAAGGCAGCUCUCUGGGACGGUACUGACGCUGAGACGCGAAAGCGUGGGGAGCGAACAGG